rnacentral:rRNA from 1 species
CCUACGGGAGGCAGCAGUGAGGAAUAUUGGUCAAUGGACGAGAGUCUGAACCAGCCAAGUAGCGUGAAGGAUGAAAGCUCUAUGGGUUGUAAACUUCUUUUAUAAAGGAAUAAAACGAGGCACGUGAGCCUUUUUGAAUGUACUUUAUGAAUAAGGAUCGGCUAACACCGUGACAGCAGCCGCGGUAAUACGGAGGAUCCGAGCGUUAUCCGGAUUUAUUGGGUUUAAAGGGAGCGUAGAUGGGUUGGUAAGUCAGUUGUGAAAGUCUGCGGCUCAACCGUAAAAUUGCAAUUGAUACUGGCAGUCUUGAGUACAGUUGAGGUAGGCGGAAUUCGUGGUGUAGCGGUGAAAUGCUUAGAGAUCACGAAGAACCCCGAUUGCGAAGGCAGCUUACUAAACUGUGACUGACAUUGAUGCUCGAAAGUGUGGGUAUCAAACAGGAUUAGAUACCCGGGUAGUC